rnacentral:rRNA from 1 species
UACGUAGGGUGCGAGCGUUGUCCGGAAUUACUGGGCGUAAAGAGCUUGUAGGCGGUUUGUCGCGUCUGCUGUGAAAAUCCGGGGCUCAACCCCGGACUUGCAGUGGGUACGGGCAGACUGGAGUGUGGUAGGGGAGACUGGAAUUCCUGGUGUAGCGGUGGAAUGCGCAGAUAUCAGGAGGAACACCGAUGGCGAAGGCAGGUCUCUGGGCCACUACUGACGCUGAGAAGCGAAAGCAUGGGGAGCGAACAGG